CGGCGUGCCUAACACAUGCAAGUCGAGCGGUAUAUAUUGGAAUGCGAUUUCGGUCAAAUGAAGAUAUAGAGAGCGGCGGACGGGUGAGUAACGCGUGGGCAACCUGCCUCAUACAGAGGGAUAGCCUCGGGAAACCGGGAUUAAAACCUCAUAAAGCCAUUGAUUCACAUGUUUCGAUGGCCAAAGAUUUAUCGGUAUGAGAUGGGCCUGCGUCUGAUUAGCUGGUUGGUGAGGUAACGGCCCACCAAGGCGACGAUCAGUAGCCGACCUGAGAGGGUAAUCGGCCACAUUGGAACUGAGACACGGUCCAAACUCCUACGGGAGGCAGCAGUGGGGAAUAUUGCACAAUGGGCGAAAGCCUGAUGCAGCAACGCCGCGUGAGUGAGGAAGGCCUUCGGGUCGUAAAGCUCUGUCAGAUGGGAAGAAAUGGGUGGGGGCUAAUAUCGCCCAUCCUUGACGGUACCAUCAGAGGAAGCACCGGCUAACUCCGUG
rnacentral:rRNA from 1 species